CCACAGACAGGGAGGAGGAGGAUGCUCCCACAUCUGUCCCUCAGGACACUACAGGGGUCACACCCAUGGAGGUUGCCAUAGAAACAGCUGUAUCGGAUGCCACAGCGACUCUGCUCAAGUCUGAUCAACAAGUUUCAGAGUCUGAACCCGUGAGAGCACAAACAGCUGACUCCUCAGACAGGUCGUCAGGUUUAACACCCGGUCCGGUCCUCACCGCUGCAGCAUCCACCUUACCAGCUCCACAGGCUGAGUCCUCUCUCAGCCAAACACCUGAGACUGAAAUCACACCACU